UAAAGAACACAUUUAGAUGUGAGCCCAAAACACAUCCAACGAGUAUCUAAUGAGCAUCAGUGUCUCACAUGUCAGACAUGGUUGUGGCACAUAGACAUGCCACCCUAAACUAGGAGGCAUGCAUGGACGAAACUAAAGAGAGACACGGGAGUCAUGGCCCCUCUGCUUGCUUGAAUAAGUUCUGAUGGGGAAAUACUAAGCUCAGCUGGGGCCCAAGGACCCCAGAUGACAAGACCGGAAUACUGGACUCCAGAAGGCCCAAUGGCCAGAUUUGAAAGGGGCAGUCAAUCUCAACAACUCACUGAGG
rnacentral:lncRNA from 1 species